rnacentral:rRNA from 1 species
AUUGAACGCUGGCGGCAGGCCUAACACAUGCAAGUCGGACGGUAGCACAGAGGAGCUUGCUCCUUGGGUGACGAGUGGCGGACGGGUGAGUAAUGUCUGGGGAUCUGCCCGAUAGAGGGGGAUAACCACUGGAAACGGUGGCUAAUACCGCAUAACGUCGCAAGACCAAAGAGGGGGACCUUCGGGCCUCUCACUAUCGGAUGAACCCAGAUGGGAUUAGCUAGUAGGCGGGGUAAUGGCCCACCUAGGCGACGAUCCCUAGCUGGUCUGAGAGGAUGACCAGCCACACUGGAACUGAGCCACGGUCCAGACUCCUACGGGAGGCAGCAGUGGGGAAUAUUGCACAAUGGGCGCAAGCCUGAUGCAGCCAUGCCGCGUGUAUGAAGAAGGCCUUCGGGUUGUAAAGUACUUUCAGCGGGGAGGAAGGCGGUGCGGUUAAUAACCGCGCCGAUUGACGUUACCCGCAGAAGAAGCACCGGCUAACUCCGUGCCAGCAGCCGCAGUAA